UGUAGUCUCGCACAGAUGCAUAUCAAUAAGCGGAGGAAAAGAAACUAACAAGGAUUCCCCUAGUAACGGCGAGUGAAGCGGGAAGAGCUCAAAUUUGAAAUCUUAAAGGGUUUCCCUUUACGAAUUGUAGUUUAAAGAAGUGUUUUCUGUUGAGGUUUUGGUAAGAGUUCUUUGGAAUAGGACAUCAUAGAGGGUGAGAAUCCCGUAUUUGACCUUUACUUUCAACUUUGUGAUACACUUUCAAAGAGUCGGAUUGUUUGGGAAUGCAGUCCAAAAUGGGUGGUAAAUUUCAUCUAAAGCUAAAUAUUGGCGAGAGACCGAUAGCGAACAAGUACCGUGAGGGAAAGAUGAAAAGAACUUUGAAAAGAGAGUUAAACAGUACGUGAAAUUGUCAAAAGGGAAGCGUUUGACACCAGUGUUGUUUUUCUGAAAAUCAAUUAAAGAACUGUUUAUGCUAAGCUGUUUAGACUUUAUCAGCUGAUCUGUUUAGUUUUGAGCUUUUCUUUAAUGCACUUUUCAGUUAACAAGUCAACAUCAAUUUCUCUUGCUGUAAAAAAGCUUGAGGAAGGUGGCUUGAGAUUCGUCUUAAGUGUUUAUAGCCUCUUGCCUAUGCAGUCGGAGAGAUUGAGGUCUACAGCGUAGAUCCUUCGGGGCUAAAUGCAUUUGUGCUAAGUUAUAGCAUUUCAUAGACAACUUGUUGACUAUGAUUUGUCUUGUAGCUUACUCGCUUAUGUUAUUUUACCUACGCUUAGGAUGUUGACAGCAGUAUAGACUGU
rnacentral:rRNA from 1 species